GGACUACACGGGUAUCUAAUCCCGUUCGCUCCCCUAGCUUUCGCACCUGAGCGUCAGUGGCGAGCCAGGAUGCUGCCUUCGCCUUCGGUGUUCUUCCAGAUCUCUACGCAUUUCACCGCUCCACCUGGAAUUCCGCAUCCCUCUCUCGUCCUCAAGUCUUGCAGUUUCCCGAGGCCUGUGGCAGUUGAGCCACCACCUGUCACUCGAAACUUACAAGACCGCCUGCGUGCCCUUUACGCCCAAUAAAUCCGGACAACGCUUGCCCCCUACGUAUUACCGCGGCUGCUGGCAC
rnacentral:rRNA from 1 species